rnacentral:rRNA from 1 species
GACGAACGCUGGCGGCGUGCUUAACACAUGCAAGUCGAACGGGUAUGCCCUGUUUUUUGCGGGGUGGGUCAGUGGCGAACGGGUGAGUAAAACGUGAGUAACUUGCCUCUCAUUUCUGGUUAACCGCUUGAACGGGAGGCUAUUACGGGGUGUUCUGGCUGUGCCGCAGGGUGGGGCGGGGAAAGUUUCCGUUUUGUGGUGCGGCGGCGGGGGAUGGGCUCGCGGGGUGUCAGCUUGUUGGUGGGGUAUUGGACUGAUACGGCGUGGACGGGUAGCCGGCCUGAGAGGGUGAGCGGCCACGUUGGGACUGAGAUGCGGCGCAGACUCGUACGGGAGGGAGCAGUGGGGAAUAUUGUACAGUGGGCGCAAGCCUGAUGCAGCAGAGCCCCGCGCGGGAUGACGGUCUUCGGGUGGUAAACAGGUUUCGGCUGUGACGAAGCGUGAGUGCGGGUAAUGGGUAAAGAAGCACCGGCUAACUACGUG